GGCUAACGCUGGCGGCGUGUCUUAGCCAUGCAAGUCGAGCGGACUUAUGGGGGUAACUUAUAAGUCAGCGGCGGACGGCGGAGUAACACGUAGCUAACCUACCCUCUGGACGGGGGAUAACCUACCGAAAGGUGGGCUAAUACCCGAUGUAGUCAUCCUGUAUAGGGGUGAUGAAAGGUGGGCUUCUGUUUACAAGCUCAUGCUGGAGGAGGGGGCUGCGGCCUAUCAGGUAGUUGGUAGGGUAAUAGCCUACCAAGCCGAUGACGGGUAGCCGGCCUGAGAGGGUGACCGGCCCGAGGGGCACUGAGAUACGGGUCCCACUCCUACGGGAGGCAGCAGGCUAGAAAUUUGGGCAAUGGGGGAAACCCUGACCCAGUGACGCCGCGUGCAGGAAGGAGCCCUUCGGGGUGUAAACUGCUGUCGUGUAGGGAGAAGGGUACUAAGGUGAACAAUCUUAGUACUUGACGGUACUACAGGAGGAAGCCCAGGCUAACCUCGUG
rnacentral:rRNA from 1 species